UGAGAAAAGGGACUCACCUUCUGGUUCCCUGCCUGGAAGAGGAAGAGCUGGCAUUGCACAGGAGACGGCUGGACAUGUCUGAGGCACUGCCCUGCCCGGGCAAGGAGACCCCCACCCCAGGCUGCAGGCUGGGGGCCCUGUAUUGGGCCUGUGUCCACAAUGAUCCCACCCAGCUCCAAGCCAUACUGGAUGGUGGGGUCUCCCCAGAGGAGGCCACCCAGGUGGACAGCAAUGGGAGGGCCACGUGCCUCUAGUGAGUCUCCUGCUCAACUACUAUGUGGGCCUGGACCUGGAACGCCGGGACCAGCGGGGGCUCACGGCGUUAAUGAAGGCUGCCAUGCGGAACCGCUGUGCUGACCUGACAGCAGUGGACCCUGUUCGGGGCAAGACGGCCCUGGAAUGGGCAGUGCUGACCGACAGCUUCGACACCGUGUGGAGGAUUCGGCAGCUGCUGAGGCGGCCCCAAGUGGAGCAGCUUAGCCAGCACUACAAGCCCGAGUGGCCGGCCUUGUCCGGGCUCGUGGC
rnacentral:lncRNA from 10 species